CAAGUCGUACGCACAGCAAUGUGAGUGGCGCAAGGGUGAGUAAUGCGAAGGUAACCAACCCUGGAGUUGGGCAUAGCCGCGGGAAACUGCGGGUAAUUCCCAGCGAUGUCGCGAGAUGGCAUCAUCUUGCGACCAAAGGUGUGAUUCCGCUCUAGGACGGGCCUUCGUGGUAUUAGGUAGUUGGUGAGGUAACGGCUCACCAAGCCGACGAUGCCUACCGGGUGUGAGAGCAUGACCCGGCACACUGGAACUGAGACACUGUCCAGACACCUACGGGUGGCUGCAGUCGAGAAUCUUCGGCAAUGGGCGAAAGCCUGACCGAGCGACGCCGCGUGAGGGAAGAAGGCCUUCGGGUUGUAAACCUCUUUCGUAGAGGAGGAAGGGGCCGUGCAGAGCGGUCCUUGACCUAUUCUAGGAAGAAGCUUGGGCUAAGUUCGUGCCAGCAGCCGUGGUAAGACGAACCAAGCGAACGUUAUUCGGAAUUACUGGGCUUAAAGCGCGUGUAGGCGGAUGACCACGUCAGUCGUUGAAAUCCCCCGGCUCAACCGGGGAACAGGCGCUGAUACGAGUUGUCUGGAGGUGGGUAGGGGAGACUGGAACUUCCGGUGGAGCGGUGAAAUGCGUUGAGAUCGGAAGGAACGCCCGCGGCGAAAGCGAGUCUCUGGACCCAUUCUGACGCUGCGACGCGAAAGCCAGGGGAGCAAACGGGAUUAGAUACCCCGGUAGUCCUGGCUGUAAACAUUGGGCACUGGGUAGUGGAACCGCCGAUGGUUUCACUGCCGCAGGGAAACCGUGAAGUGCCCCGCCUGGGGAGUAUGGUCGCAAGGCUGAAACUCAAAGGAAUUGACGG
rnacentral:rRNA from 1 species